rnacentral:tRNA from 3 species
GCCGACAUAGCUCAGUUGGUAGAGCAGCUGCCUUGUAAUCAGCAGGUCACCAGUUCGAUUCCGGUUGUCGGCACCA